CCUACGGGAGUCAGCAGUGAGGAAUAUUGGUCAAUGGGCGCAAGCCUGAACCAGCCAAGUCGCGUGAGGGAUGACGGUCCUAUGGAUUGUAAACCUCUUUUGUCGGGGAGCAAGGCCCGCCACGUGUGGCGGGAAGGAGAGUACCCGAAGAAAAAGCAUCGGCUAACUCCGUGCCAGCAGCCGCGGUAAUACGGAGGAGGCGAGCGUUAUCCGGAUUUAUUGGGUUUAAAGGGUGCGUAGGCGGAAGGUUAAGUCAGCGGUCAAAUGUCGGUGCUCAACACCGGCCUGCCGUUGAAACUGGUCGUCUUGAGUGAGCGAGAAGUAUGCGGAAUGCGUGGUGUAGCGGUGAAAUGCAUAGAUAUCACGCAGAACUCCGAUUGCGAAGGCAGCAUACCGGCGCUCAACUGACGCUGAGGCACGAAAGCGUGGGGAUCGAACAGGAUUAGAUACCCUAGUAGUC
rnacentral:rRNA from 1 species